rnacentral:rRNA from 1 species
GUUUGAUCCUGGCUCAGAGCGAACGCUGGCGGCAGGCCUAACACAUGCAAUUCGAACGGAUCCUUCGGGAUUAGUGGCGGACGGGUGAGUAACACGUGGGAACGUGCCCUUUGGUUCGGAACAACUCAGGGAAACUUGAGCUAAUACCGGAUGUGCCCUUCGGGGGAAAGAUUUAUCGCCAUUGGAGCGGCCCGCGUCUGAUUAGCUAGUUGGUGGGGUAAAGGCCCACCAAGGCGACGAUCAGUAGCUGGUCUGAGAGGAUGAUCAGCCACAUUGGGACUGAGACACGGCCCAAACUCCUACGGGAGGCAGCAGUGGGGAAUCUUGCGCAAUGGGCGAAAGCCUGACGCAGCCAUGCCGCGUGAAUGAUGAAGGUCUUAGGAUUGUAAAAUUCUUUCACCGGGGGAGAUAAUGACGGUACCCGAGAAGA